UACAGAGGUCUCAAGCGUUGUUCGGAUUCAUUGGGCGUAAAGGGUGCGUAGGCGGCGCGGUAAGUCGGGUGUGAAAUCUCGGAGCUUAACUCCGAAACUGCAUCCCAAACUGCCUAGCUUGAGUAUGGGAGAGGAUGAGGGAAUUCCUGGUGUAGCGGUGAAAUGCGUAGAUAUCAGGAGGAACACCGGUGGCGAAAGCGCUCAUCUGGCCCAAUACUGACGCUGCAGCGCGAAAGCUAGGGGAGCAAACGGG
rnacentral:rRNA from 1 species